rnacentral:tRNA from 1 species
UAGCCUAGUGGUUAAGGCUUCGAAUCGCCAAUCCGGAGACGGCGGGUUCGAUUCCCGU